rnacentral:rRNA from 1 species
CGUAGGAUGCAAGCGUUGUCCGGAAUUAUUGGGCGUAAAGAGCGCGCAGGCGGUCUAUCAAGUCAGAUGUGAAAUAUCCGGGCUUAACCUGGAGGGGUCAUUUGAAACUGGUAGACUAGAGUACAGCAGAGGAUAGUGGAAUUCCCGGUGUAGUGGUGAAAUGCGUAGAUAUCGGGAGGAACACCAGUGGCGAAGGCGACUAUCUGGGCUGAAACCGACGCUGAGGCGCGAAGGCUAGGGGAGCAAACAGGAUUAGAUACCCUGGUAGUCCUAGCAGUAAACGAUGGAUACUAGGUGUUGGGGGAAAUUGACCCCCUCAGUGCCGCAGUUAACACAAUAAGUAUCCCGCCUGGGGAGUACGGUCGCAAGACUA